GCCCGCCUAGCUCAAUCGGAUAGAGCGUCAGACUUUUACGGCAUGUCGGCUGGGCAAUCUGAAGGCUGCGAGUUCGACCCUCGCGGUGGGCU